UUCACUACACUUCCUGUGAGAUAGCAGAAGUAUAAAUGGCAGUCAGUUGCACGCAUGCUAAAUGUACACUGUAUUGUGUUGCAUCUGUUCUGCUAACAGUCAUACACUAGAUUCACUCAUUUAAUGUCAUUUGUUAUCUAACUAAACUUUCAUUGCUUUACAUACACUUCUGCCAGGUUCAACAUUGAAACCAGCAACACCUUCUUCAUCAUCAUCAUCAUCAUCAUCAUCAUCCACAGUUUAUACCAGCUUCUCCAUCAGCAGGAUUUUCAGCUUCCACUGUGAUCACUGUGUCUUUAAUUGUGCUGCUGCUUCUAAUUGGAAUUACAUUAAUCACUUUGACUUUACAAAAGAGACGCAAAAUUGAAGGUAGAGCUUCUACUGUCCAGUGUUCUGUCCUAAACUCAGGAAAUAACCAAGAGGUUCCUCUUACUGUUUGUGAGUAUGAGGAGAUUAAAGACACCAGACGCCUUCACGCCUCAGAGCGUGAAACUUCUGCAGUUUACUCUACUGUUCAACUACCCACAAUCCCCUCUGAUCAGGACAUCUACUUCACAGCUCAGUUACCCACAGGUCAAUCAGCUGAGAAAUCUGCUGAAGGUCUGACUUACGCAGCACUGAGUUUUCACACAAAUGCCACCAGCCCUAAUGAUGCAGUUCCAAAGAUUAGGGAAGACUACGCUGACUACACUUCAGUCAGUCACAUUACUUCAUCUGAUUAAUCUCCCUAUCUGUCUCAGGACAACAUUUUCACCAACUGCCAUUUCAGUAACAUACACAAAUACCUCUCUUUUAUUAUUAUGCAUUGAAGAAACCUUAUUCUUAUUCUUUACAAUUUUAUUUUGCUUUGGGUUAAACCCACAGCUAUUGCAUGAUAAAAAGGGCCAAAGUUUUAGCCUAAAUUAUCUGAUCACUGCACUGUAAACCCGAAUAAGUUGGCAAAACUCAAAAAAUUUUAGGUAAUCAAUUACAUCAAUUUUUUUAAGUAAUGAUUUUUCCAGUUUUAAGUAAAUGGAACUAUGAGUUUUUGAGUUUGUUGUACAAUUUUUUUUUAGUUGUUGCAAAUCAAAUAAAUUGUUGUUGGUCUUUCGGCUGCUCCCGGCAAUCGGUCGCUACAUCAGACAAUCCGUCCCGCACACAAGCUGAGCACAGGUUUUAUGCCAGAUGCCCUUCCUGACACAACCCUUCCAUUUUAUCUGGGCUUGAGACAGGCACUUCAUCCAGUUGUUGGGAAUCGAACCCGGGCCUUUCACAUGGCGGGCGAAACACCUACCACUGAGCCACCAGUGCCCCAUUGCCUUGAUGACGUCAGACACAAAAUCGCUAGUCUGAAAUAUUUUAAGUUGGUGGAACUUUAAGGUGACAGUUACCGUUACUUAACUACUUAAAACAUACUUAAAAUAAAAUUGGUUCAGCUAACUUGAAAAGUGUCAUUUCUACAAACUCAUAAAUACCAAAAAGUUCUAAAUACUCAUAAAGUUCUAUUAAUUUGAACUAAUUGUAAUUAUUUAAGUUAACAUUACUCAAUAUGGUUAAUUACUUUAAGCAUUAGGGUUUACAGUGUGCUGGGCCUUUAGUUUCAUAUCCACUUUAAUGCUGGAGCCUGUUGUUUCUUCUUUAAGGAUGAUAAGUGCAGUUCAUGUUUGGUCACAUUUCAACAGUCCUGUGGUGUCAUUUGGUAUAUGAUGGAGCUCUGUCAGCUAGCCAUAAUCUCCAGAAAGUAUUAAAUAUCAGUCACAGUCACAAUAAACACUUUACCUUUAUGUGUUCAUUUAUACAUGUGAGCCAGACUGAUGAGAUGUGAUACUGUAAGAUGGAAGCAGUCCUACACUCUAAAAACUAACUCAGAGGACCUUUUACCACUACUUGAUUUAAUACAUGGAUGCAAGUUAAACAUUCUAAUUAAUUGAUUUAGAUGAACUUUCUAAGUUGCAAACUUUAUUUUUAUAAGUUGUGAUCAAAUAAUAAUGCUGGUAAUUAUAUUAACUUAAUUUUGCAUGUAAUUUAAACUCAACAUUAAUUGUUAAUGGGUUGAAAACAAAAUUUAAGUUGUCUUAACUUUAAAAAGUUGGCAUAAUAAGUAAAUUUUUUAAAGUUAUAUCCUACCCCCUAUGCCUGGACGUGUUCCAGUGGUAAGAUUGUGUGUUAGCAGACUUAUAGGCUAACCAAACUCAAUAUAAACAAAAUUUCAUGGUGAGUAACACUUCAAUUUACAUCUAAUAGUUCUACUAAAGUAAUGAAUUUGCACUUGUUUCAUUGAGAUAUCUGCUCAGCAAGAGAGCUGUUUGGAAAAACAUUAUUCAAGUUUUGCUAAUUUGACCAUUUGACUGUAAGCUACAUAAUGUUAACUAAUUUCAGUCACAGCCACAGUUUUUAAAAGUCUUUUGUUCAUUCACAUAGAUGGCUGUGUGCUUCCACUGUAGACAAAUUGUAGUAGCAAAGAAGUAAAAGCAGAGUGUUUCUUUUAUUUUAGUUUGCUUGUAUUUUAGUUACUUUUGUAAUACAAUUCAAAGUUAAUAUUUGUCUGGGUUUUGUGGUAUUUUUCAUAACAUUAAAGGGUAUGUAAAAUGUUGGCAUUGUGAUUCUGACAGUAUCACUCAGGUGUAUGUGUCCACCUGAAAUUAAUAUUUUGCAUCAAUAGUUAUUCAAUAGACAUUAUCAAUCUAAAUAGAUUAGUGUGUUGUUAAGUUUGACAAUAUUGUUUUAAAAAAUGGGCUGUAAGUGCAAACUGUAAAUGUAUCUCUCUCAUUGGAAAUGACUGGUGUCAUUCAGAGCUUAGUCUUUUGGAAUGUUCUAUGACAUGCUACUUGGCUUUUGACUGUAAUAUUUAUUGAGAUUUGCCUAACUUUGUUGUGAUAGCAUAAUUUAUUAUGCUUAGUUAUUCUUAA